rnacentral:rRNA from 1 species
AACGCUGGCGGCGCGCUUAACACAUGCAAGUCGAGCGAGAACCGGGGCUUCGGCCCCGGGGACAGCGGCGAACGGGUGAGUAACACGUGGGUAAUCUGCCCUCGGUUCCGGGAUAGCCCGGGGAAACUCGGAUUAAUACCGGAUAGCCUCACGAGCCUUCGGGCGCGUGAGAAAAGGUAGCUUCGGCCUCUGACCGAGGAGGAGCCCGCGGCGGAUUAGCUUGUUGGCGGGGUAACGGCCCACCAAGGCGACGAUCCGUAGCUGGUCUGAGAGGACGAUCAGCCACACUGGGACUGAGACACGGCCCAGACUCCUACGGGAGGCAGCAGUGGGGAAUCUUGCGCAAUGGGCGAAAGCCUGACGCAGCGACGCCGCGUGAGGGAAGAAGGCCCUAGGGUUGUAAACCUCUUUCAGGUGGGACGAAGCCACUCGGGUGAAUAGCCCAGAGGGUGACGGUACCUCCAGAAGAAGCCCCGGCUAACUACGUGCCAGCAGCCGCCGUAAAAC